rnacentral:rRNA from 1 species
UACGUAGGGUGCAAGCGUUAUCCGGAAUCACUGGGCGUAAAGCGUCCGCAGCCGGGAGUUUAAGUGAGAUGUUAAAUCGUGUGGCUCAACCAUAUCGAUGCAUCUCAUACUGGACACCUAGAGGAAAUCAGAGGCAAAUGGAAUUAGCAGUGUAGCAGUGAAAUGCGUAGAUAUUGCUAGGAACACCAAUGGCGAAGGCAGUUUGCUGGGAUUUUUCUGACGGUCAGGGACGAAAGCGUGGGGAGCGAACAGG